rnacentral:lncRNA from 1 species
GUGGCGCCAGGAGGAGGCCGAGUUAUGGCAGUCGCGGCUGCGGCGGCUUUUAUUUAUUUAUUUAUUCUUUCAUUUAUUUAUCAUUUUAUUUCAAUACAAUAUAUUUUUAUUAUUUUAUUUAUUUUAUUUAUUUUUUUAUUCUUUUUUUAUUCUUUUUUUUCUUCUUUUUUUUCCUUCUUCUUCUUUCUUCUCCUCCCACGAUGUCGCCGGCACCGGAAGGGGGCCGGGCCAUGGUGGCCUCAUGAGGGGGCUUGGGAGGGGGCCGGGCCGCCGGCAGCGGCCGCCGCGACUGGCUAGUAAAGAAUUCUUCUCCUCCCGCAAGGCCGAUGGCGCCAAAAAGGGGUCGGGCCGCGGUGGACACGAGAGGAAGGUGGGCUAUGGCCGCGCCCUUUUUCCUCUUCUUCGGCGCCUCCCCACCGUUUUGGGGGGGGGGGGGGCUGCGGGAGGGGACCCAGCCAUGCCCCCUCCCCCCUCUUCUUCGG